CCAAUAUUAUCUUCUUUCUGGGAAGACACAAAACCAUAAUGAACAAUAAAAAAAAUCUAUGUGGAAUUUCUUAUGUGUCUAUCUUGAGUCUUUCUCUCAGCCCAAUGUAACCCGUCUUUUUGUUUUUCAGGCCCAUGCCACUGCCUCCUGCUUUCUGUCCGAUUGUGGCUUUCCUCUUCCUGCUGCAAUCUGAAUGAAUGGGGUAUGUCUGCCACAUUUGGUGCCCUGUUGUCCAGACCUUGCUAGGGCUCCAGGGACAUUUAUCUCAGAGACACUGCCAAGUAUCUACUUGCCUCUUGUUCUCUUUCUCUGCAGCUUAGUUGGUACGUAUUGCUAAGCCUGCUGCUUCUCUAGAUGAAAAUGGCUUCUGGAGUGUUGUUGUCUUGUUAGUAUAACUAAGAAGAUAUGUGGACUAGUGAACUGGAUAAAUCAGCAUGUAAUUCUGUAGAUGAAAAAGGUUUCAGAUCUGCCUCCAAAAUUCCAGCUGCUCUUUCUGUUAAUCUCAUGUCCCUUGCUGAUCCUGCCAGGAUAUCUCAGGACAGUCCAAGGAUGUACACAGGCUACUGUCUGAAUAAAGAAAAGAAGGAAUGUCUUUAUUUUAACUACACUGGCUCGAGCUCUGUAGUAAAGGAGCAAUAAGGUUGGAAAUUGCAUAAUUCAUCAAUUUGGAAAUGCUUGUGCAGCCCAGUUCUGUUCCAUUUGUCUGCAUCAUGAUACUAGCUUAUUGCAUUUCAAUGCCAUGUUAUAAAAGCUCCAACAAAUGCUUGUUUACAAGUGAAGAGAAUUAGAACCUAUGCUGAGUCUGUAUAAAUCGAAAUAGUAAAAUAAAGAUUCUCCUUUCCUGAACUGGAACCA
rnacentral:lncRNA from 1 species